AACGAGCGCGUAACCCCUCGCUGCCAGUUGCCAACGGGUAGAGCCGGGCACUCUGGCGGGACUGCCAUCGACAAGAUGGAGGAAGGUGGGGAGUGACGUCAAGUCAUCAUGGCCCUUAUGUCCAGGGCGACACACGUGCUACAAUGGCCGGCACAGCGGGAAGCGAGGCAGUGAUGCCAAGCGGAUCCCUUAAAGCCGGUCUCAGUUCGGAUUGAAGUCUGCAACUCGACUUCAUGAAGCUGGAAUCGCUAGUAAUCGCAGAUCAGCCAAGCUGCGGUGAAUACGUUCCCGGGCCUU
rnacentral:rRNA from 1 species